rnacentral:rRNA from 1 species
GACGAACGCUGGCGGCGUGCUUAACACAUGCAAGUCGAACGGAAAGGCCCUGCUUUUGUGGGGUGCUCGAGUGGCGAACGGGUGAGUAACACGUGAGUAACCUGCCCUUGACUUUGGGAUAACUUCAGGAAACUGGGGCUAAUACCGGAUAGGAGCUCCUGCUGCAUGGUGGGGGUUGGAAAGUUUCGGCGGUUGGGGAUGGACUCGCGGCUUAUCAGCUUGUUGGUGGGAUAGUGGCUUACCAAGGCUUUGACGGGUAGCCGGCCUGAGAGGGUGACCGGCCACAUUGGGACUGAGAUACGGCCCAGACUCCUACGGGAGGCAGCAGUGGGGAAUAUUGCACAAUGGGCGGAAGCCUGAUGCAGCAACGCCGCGUGCGGGAUGACGGCCUUCGGGUUGUAAACCGCUUUCGCCUGUGACGAAGCGUGAGUGACGGUAAUGGGUAAAGAAGCACCGGCUAACUACGUGCCAGCAGCCGCGGUGAUACGUAGGGUGCGAGCGUUGUCCGGAUUUAUUGGGCGUAAAGGGCUCGUAGGUGGUUGAUCGCGUCGGAAGUGUAAUCUUGGGGCUUAACCCUGAGCGUGCUUUCGAUACGGGUUGACUUGAGGAAGGUAGGGGAGAAUGGAAUUCCUGGUGGAGCGGUGGAAUGCGCAGAUAUCAGGAGGAACACCAGUGGCGAAGGCGGUUCUCUGGGCCUUUCCUGACGUUGAGGAGCGAAAGCGUGGGGAGCGAACAGGCUUAGAUACCCUGGUAGUCCACGCUGUAAACGGUGGGUACUAGGUGUGGGGUCCAUUCCACGGGUCCCGUGCCGUAGCUAACGCUUUAAGUACCCCGCCUGGGGAGUACGGCCGCAAGGCUAAAACUCAAAGGAAUUGACGGGGCCCCGCACAAGCGGCGGAGCAUGCGGAUUAAUUCGAUGCAACGCGUAGAACCUUACCUGGGUUUGACAUGGAUCGGGAGUGCUCAGAGAUGGGUGUGCCUCUUUUGGGGUCGGUUCACAGGUGGUGCAUGGCUGUCGUCAGCUCGUGUCGUGAGAUGUUGGGUUAAGUCCCGCAACGAGCGCAACCCUUGUUCACUGUUGCCAGCACGUUAUGGUGGGGACUCAGUGGAGACCGCCGGGGUCAACUCGGAGGAAGGUGGGGAUGACGUCAAGUCAUCAUGCCCCUUAUGUCCAGGGCUUCACGCAUGCUACAAUGGCUGGUACAGAGAGUGGCGAGCCUGUGAGGGUGAGCGAAUCUCGGAAAGCCGGUCUCAGUUCGGAUUGGGGUCUGCAACUCGACCUCAUGAAGUCGGAGUCGCUAGUAAUCGCAGAUCAGCAACGCUGCGGUGAAUACGUUCCCGGGGCU